rnacentral:rRNA from 1 species
UACAGAGGUCUCAAGCGUUGUUCGGAUUCAUUGGGCGUAAAGGGUGCGUAGGUGGCGUCGUAAGUCAGGUGUGAAAUUUCGGAGCUUAACUUCGGAAACUGCAUUUGAUACUGCGGUGCUUGAGGACUGGAGAGGAGACUGGAAUUUACGGUGUAGCAGUGAAAUGCGUAGAGAUCGUAAGGAAGACCAGUGGCGAAGGCGGGGUCUCUGGACAGUUCCUGACACUGAGGCACGAAGGCCAGGGGAGCAAACGGG